rnacentral:rRNA from 1 species
CAGCCGCCGCGGGAAUACGUAGGGUGCGAGCGUUAAUCGGAUUUACUGGGCGUAAAGCGCACGUAGGCGGAUAUUUAAGUCAGGGGUGAAAUCCCAGAGCUCAACUCUGGAACUGCCUUUGAUACUGGGUAUCUUGAGUAUGGAAGAGGUUAGUGGAAUUGCGAGUGUAGAGGUGAAAUUCGUAGAUAUUCGCAGGAACACCAGUGGCGAAGGCGGCUAACUGGUCCAUAACUGACGCUGAGGUGCGAAAGCGUGGGGAGCAAACAGGAUUAGAGACCCGCGUAGUCCCUGUCUCUUAUAC